UACGUAGGGGGCAAGCGUUGUCCGGAUUCAUUGGGCGUAAAGGGUGUGUAGGUGGCGCCGUAAGUCGGGUGUGAAAUUUCGGAGCUUAACUCCGAAACUGCAUUCGAUACUGCGGUGCUUGAGGACUGGAGAGGAGACUGGAAUUUACGGUGUAGCAGUGAAAUGCGUAGAGAUCGUAAGGAAGACCAGUGGCGAAGGCGGGUCUCUGGACAGUUCCUGACACUGAGGCACGAAGGCCAGGGGAGCAAACGGG
rnacentral:rRNA from 1 species